rnacentral:rRNA from 1 species
UACGUAGGGUCCGAGCGUUGUCCGGAAUUAUUGGGCGUAAAGGGCUCGUAGGCGGUCCGUCACGUCGGGAGUGAAAACUCAGGGCUCAACCCUGAGCGUGCUUCCGAUACGGGCGGACUAGAGGUAUGCAGGGGAGAACGGAAUUCCUGGUGUAGCGGUGGAAUGCGCAGAUAUCAGGAGGAACACCGGUGGCGAAGGCGGUUCUCUGGGCAUUACCUGACGCUGAGGAGCGAAAGCAUGGGGAGCGAACAGGA